rnacentral:sRNA from 1 species
UAUAAACUACGGUUUAUAUACUUUUCCUAGUUUUCCUUGCUUACUCAUCUUUCUCAUACUGCUGACUCAUGUACUGGACGGGGCCCGAGGAGGUGGUGAGCAUGCUGACCAGAGCAUGUAUAGAUAGCUCGAGGGAGACGGGAAGGCAGAGAGAUGGCUGGAAAGAAACCGAAGGACGAAGAGAGAUGUCGAGAACCCAAAGAGAAUUUAGACGAUCGGCCGCGGUCGUCGGAGGUGGAGGUACUUUGGUUCGGCGGCAGAGAGAGGUGGAGGUUUCGGGUGUCACUUCUGCAUAGCGUCGUGACACCUUUUCAGUGACAGAAGACAAGUGUCCACUUGCCCUUAUCCUCAGGGAUGCUCGUGAGGUGACUGAGCAGUUGCUACAAUGGAUGACUUCCAUCUGGGGAUACACCGCUGUUACGACUCGUCCUCAACAAGGUCCGGCCUUGGAGACGAGAUGGGAAGCUGUAGUUUAACUAAGCAAUGAGAUAUAUGUAUGAUAUACCUCUUAAC